AACGCAUAUUGCGCCUUUUAGUAUUCUAAAGGGCAUACCUGUUUGAGCGUUAUUUGUAUAACUCAAGCUCUGCUUGGUACUAGGCUAUGCUGCUUAGCAGGCCCUAAAUCUAGUAGCAGGUUCUGCUCUAUCUUCCGCGUAGUCAUAUCUCGCCUUAGAUUUUGUAGAGCCAGCUAAAACUCUCUUUGAUUUAACCUCAAAUCAGGUAGGAGUACCCGCUGAACUUAA
rnacentral:misc_RNA from 1 species